rnacentral:rRNA from 1 species
UAAUUUUAUCAUAAGACGAGGGAAAAGGAA